UUUUUUUUUUUUCCUUCUUUUUUUUUUUUUUUUUGGGGAAUUGAACUCAUUCUGAAGUAUGCAAAAUCUUCCUUUUCUGGGAUGGCCAAGCACCUGCUGUGGAGACAAUGUUCAGCACCAUCCUGUUGAGAACACACUGUGUAGCCUUUACAGUAGUUACUUGUCAAUGAUCCUGCGCGAUGAUCAGAGGAGAUGAUCAUAACCCAACACUGCUCAGACGUCAGGGUUUUCUGACUCUACUGCGUUUGUUAAUCCCAUCGACCGGCUGAAUUCCAGAGAGAGGUGAUGAGUGUGGCCUGUUAGUUUGUUGGGUUGGUUUGUUUGUUUCUUUCCUUAUUCUUUCCUUACGUUGAAUGGUACACCCCUGUUUUCUGUAAGCGUCGAACCGGGGUCGAUUACAAACCAAGGGAAGCCGGCGAGCGUUGCCUCUUGGCUCGUGAGGACGGACUGACAGCGGGGGCCGUGGCCCGCACGGGCGCCGAGGCAGGAGCCCCUUUGCCGCUUGCCGGAGCGGGCUCCCCCCUCCUGCCUUCUGGUAGCCCCUACUCGCCACGGCGAGGUGGUAAGGAGUUAAAAGCUGAGCUGCCAGACAAGUGGAACACGGCCACCUGUAAAGAUGUGUUUGAAAAAAAACGAAAAUUAAGGGCAACACGCCACUUGGCAGAAGAGCUAAGCGCAGAGGUUGGGCAUCGGCAGGUGACUUGCAGUGGCAACGCCGGGAGCUGAGGCACAGGUCGUUGCAGGGUGUGUUACUGCAUCAGUGAUCCUUUGGGUUGAUUUUUUUUGAUUUUUUUUUUUUGUUUUGGACAUAUCCUUGAUUAUUUUUUCCUUCUCAUUAUGUAUAAUCUUUUGUGGCAGAAGAAGCAGGAGAGGGAAUGGCAAGGUGACAGUAUCAUACAAAUGGCUUUUCAUAUGGGUAUAGAUUGUAACAGGAUAAAUGACACUGAAAGACAAGGCAGUUUUAUAUAUUUUGCUUCUAAGAUUUUCUUUUGUAAAAUGAAUAAUAAUUAAUAAUAAUAAUGAAUAAAAGGUAUGGUGCUGUAUAGAUCCUCUCUAUAAUCUGGAAAGUUUGAUUACUUUUUAUUAGUAUCUUUUGGGGGGGGAGGGAUACAAAAAAAGAGGGGAAAACACCAGUGGUACAUAGGAACUCGAUGUGAAGAGGUUCUGAAUAGGACAGUGUAUACAUAAUUCUCCAAAGCGAUAUAUGAAGUUUUUUUUCUUUGCAUAAAAGCAUUAUGCAUAUAAAUAUAUAAAUAUAUUUUAUUAUGUACAGAAAUGGAUCAUUAUGCAUGGAUGUUAGGAAAAAAAACUAGCAUUUUAACCCAAAGUCUCAGUGCAUGAGUUCCCACCGACCCGUGUCCCAUGCAAUGUGGAGUGACUCCCUCUCGCCACUGCCACCGCACAUGCACAGUCUUACACACACACACCCACACACACACCACACACACACAUGCACACACCCCAUUCGUGGGCCCUUCCUCGCUCAUUACUUUCCAGGUCCCUGAGGUGAUAUUAGUGACACAACAGCUCCUAGUGUGAUGGAAGUUUUGUUUUUGUAUCGUAGCCCCCAUGGUGUCCUCUCAUAAAGAUGCACCUCUUGGUUUCUCCCCCGCAGUUCUGACCGUGUAGACUCUGUGCCGUCGUGGUUAUCGUAGCCCUAUAGCCUAUCGACUCUUCCAAGCAGCCAAGGGUUUUUCAUUUGCCUUUUAAAAAAACUUCUCUUUUCUUUUUACACUGAGAUGGUCUAUUUGUCAGCGUGGGGACUAGUUUGUUACAUUUAUUGGAGUUAACUGAUGCUCAUUGCCCAUCUCUGUCAGCAGCCAGCUACCCAGGACGCUCGUGUGGCACAGUGGUCACCUGGGCUAGAGGUCGCUUUGCUUACCCGAGUCCGUUGCAGGCACCUUUUACCAAGGUUGUUUGAGUGCUUUGUCACCAGCCUCCCCUGAGUGUGUAGCAUUAGCUCUCAGCUUCCCGGUACACCCUGAAAUGCGGGUGUACGCUGAAGGACUUCCCUCCGGUGCUCCUUUCCCCAAGGUUCCUCCGUGGUUGCCACCCUGUGGCUGGGCUCGUCCCCCUGCCCCACGGUGUUUGCCACCAGCAGAGCUCACUUGGUGGCUCCCCGUGCUGGGGCACAGCAUUUGGCCCCUGCACGGGUGAGCCGUCGGUGAGACCCAGGGUGCCUGCCCAAAGACCACCAACCAGGUCGCUGACGGCACCAGUAAGGCCUGACUUGAUGGUAUGGCCAAGGUGACCAAAAUCCAUCAUUUUAUUUUUGUUUCUUGGUAGGGAUGUGGUUCUUGUCAAAGGCAAGAGAAGGCCCAUUAGAUUAAACCAAACAGGGGCAACUUCUGCUCUGCUAUGGCAGCCUGGCCCCCUUGAGUCCAACAGAGCUAGCUCCCACUGGCAGGAACGAGAGAGAGAACUAUGGUCCGUUCUGUUCAGAAAAUGGAGAAAAAACACCUGAUUUAGAGACAGCCCAUCAAUGGCAGAGAGGUUUUUUUUUUUAAAAAAAAAGCAUUAGUGGCUGAAAGGCUUAACCUGCCUCCCACCAACGUCAAGGAAAGCAUUUCCAUUGGCGUGGCUGGGACACGUUAUGCCCCUGCUUUGGAGAACAUCCCAGCACUCACUGAAGAGGGGUGGACUUGCCAGCCUCUUCAGUUUGGUUUGGUUUCUUUUGCUCAUUUUUGGGGCCGAAAUUUUCAAUCGGAAGUGCCUGGAGUCAGGCACUGAAGGUGGGGGACUCCAGCGUGGUGGCAUGGGGUGAGCUGGUCUGCCCUCAUCGCUUCUCAGAGGAAGGAGAGGUGCCAGGUACCUCCGGGCCCAGGAGAAGGUCACCACACUCUACCCCUGCCAAGGUGCCCAGCAAACACCCUCAUCUCCAGAGGUGCUAAAUAAUUCUUGCUGAAUUCAAAGGGCCACUUAUUUAGGUGUCAAAAUACAGACUUGAAUGUCUUAUUUUGGGAACCUACCUUUGGAAAAUUUGGCCUUUGAGUCUUUGAACAUGUUUAUGCCUAGAAGUUUUCCCUCUGAAACCGUGUAAAACAGCUAAAGGUCCAGAACAAUUACAUAGUUAUUGCUUAAACACUUGGUCUAAAGAAAAGGUCUAAAAAGGUGACAUUUACACAGUUCCUAGUCACAGGUUGGGGGCUUGAUUUAAUGAUUUUGUAAAAAAAAUUUCUCUUGAGAAUCAUUGGAUAGUUGACCACUGCUUAAGUCCAGAAAUUUUUGUUGUCACCGCUUCAAAAAGUUACCUUUUAGGUCAUGUAUUUCUCUAAAAUGAUGUCAUUGCUUGGCAAUCGGUGUCCUGUAAGUGUUUCUAGCACACGAUAUACCUUAGGAAUUGCCAACAGAUGCGAAGGGGGACCAGAUACAUUUCGUUACUAUGGGUUAGAAAAAAUGGAUUGUACAUUUGGCUUCACAUGUUUAACUUUUUUUUUUAAAAAAGUUGCAUGAUUGGAAAAAAUAUGUAUACAGUAUCUGUAAAACUGUUUUAUCUGUUUUUGUUUCAAGCCAUGUAAAUUGGAAGAAUAUUAAAUCCACAGCCUUAUCGCGCAUGGCCGUCUUUACAUACCGAAGAGCUGAACAGUUUAUAUUUUUCAUUUGGGCUAUCUUGUACUUUCAUUUGAAAGCAGACACUCUCAUGUUGCAGUCUUACUGAGGAUUUUAUAUUAAAAAAAAAAGAAAAAAGAUGCUGCCCUGGAGGAAUAUACUACCUUACUACACAGAGGUUGGAAGGAAGUUUGUUUUGGAGCAAAACCUGCCCCUUUCCAAAGGAAGUAGAGACGCAGUGCUUACUCCACUUGGUGUUAGUAGAUAUUGCCUUGUGUAUUCCAUUUUAAAUUGUAAUCUAGUUUGUAAAAGAGAUGGUGACGCAUGUAAAUAAAGCAUAAUGGAUCUCUACAUUGCA